UACGGAGGGGGCUAGCGUUGUUCGGAAUUACUGGGCGUAAAGCGCACGUAGGCGGCUUUGUAAGUUAGAGGUGAAAAGCCCCGGAGCUCAACUCGGAAUUGCCUUUAAGACUGCAUCGCUCGAAUCCAGGAGAGGUGAGUGGAAUUCCGAGUGUAGAGGUGAAAAUUCGUAGGUAUUCGGAAGAACACCAGUGGCGAAGGCGGCUCACUGGACUGGUAUUGACGCUGAGGUGCGAA
rnacentral:rRNA from 1 species